UACGGAGGAUGCGAGCGUUAUCCGGAUUUAUUGGGUUUAAAGGGUGCGUAGGCGGGCCGGUAAGUCAGCGGUGAAAUCCCAUGGCUCAACCAUGGAAUUGCCGUUGAAACUGUCGGUCUUGAAUAUGGUCAAGGUAGGCGGAAUGCGUAAUGUAGCGGUGAAAUGCUUAGAUAUUACGCGGAACACCUAUUGCGAAGGCAGCUUGCUGGGCCAGUAUUGACGCUGAGGCACGAAAGCGUGGGGAGCGAACAGGAUUAGAUACCCU
rnacentral:rRNA from 1 species